rnacentral:rRNA from 1 species
GACGAACGCUGGCGGCGUGCUUAACACAUGCAAGUCGAACGAAGUGGCGAACGGGGGAGUAAUACGUGGGUAACCUGCCCUCCUUUGUGGGAUAAGCCUUGGGAACGGGGUCUAAGACCAAAUAAAGGGGGAUGGGCGGGUGGCCGAUCUGCUUGUUGGUGGGGUGAUGGCCUACCAAGGCGGUGACGGGGAGCCGGCCUGAGAGGGUGACCGGCCACAUUGAGACUGAGAUAAGGCCCAGACUACUACGGGAUGCAGCAGUGGGCGAUAUGGCACAAUGGGCGAAAGCGUGAUGCAGCGACGCUGCGUGGGGGAUGAAGGUUUUCGGGUUGUAACACUCUUUCGCUAUCGAAUGGGUAGGUGGAGAAGAAGCGCCGGCUAACUACGUGCCAGCAGCCGCGGUAAUAC